AAACGUGCCCCAAAAUAGCUCUCUGGGCCCAGCCAGGGCAAGAGGACCAGGACGUCCUGUUCCCACCGGCUCUGGCCAGAGAGUGACUGUGUACUUGGCCUUCCCCUUUGGAGGCUGCUGGAAGGGAGGGCGGAGCGCAUCCUGCCUGUGGACUCACGGCAAUGAGCUGAGCCCCUGGACACAAACACCCUUAACCUGGGACACUGUGAUGCUUCCCAAAUGUGCCAACAAGGCCUCAGGGAACUGGAAGGAUGUGGAAGGCAGAGACUCCCUUCAGCAAGCACCUACUAUGUGCCUGGCUGGGCUCGGGGCUGGGGUGAGAGCUGUAAAGACAGCAUUUUGCUGUGGUUGAGAGAUCUGGAUGCAGCUGCACAAUUUUGAUGCUGCCUUGUCAAAAUGGAAAAUCGCUUUGAUUAUCGAGUGAACUGUACAACAGACACCCUGAUCCUUGUUCCAUCUCCUCCUCCCCCUACUCCAGCAAAGAAAUUGAGUCUCUAAAUACCAUCACCAUGCUAAAACUCUCCAGUUGUCUUACCGGAACUCAGGCUUGAAUAUCCAGCUGUGACUCCACAUGCCUGACUGACAAGUCAGCCUCGAGGAUCCAAGGCCUCAAAGCCCAUUCACAUCCAUUUCCCCACCUGAGUCUUAACACACCCUGAGAAGCCAACCUGGGCUGCAGGUGCCCAUUUCACAGAUAAAGAAGCUGAGGUGAAGCCACACAACUGGAAAGCAUCAAGCCAGGACUUGAACCCAAGGUUCUUUCAGCUCAGCCUGCUUCUCCUUGAUCCCAGGUCACAGCCCUUAGGGUGGAGGUUCAGGGGAGCGUUUUCUCUCUUCCUUCCUAAGACACCCCUUGAAGCCGGGGCUCAAGUCUGCAGUGCUCCUAUCAGGCCUUUCUCACAGCGAGGCUCCUGGGCUGCCCACAAGGAGGAGAGGGAGCCCCAACCCCAUCCCUCUCUCAGGAGAGGAGGGAAGGCAAGUGCUCAGAGCUGGGCACAAGGCCAGAUAAAGUUGGGGCUGGGCAGAAAGUGCAGUGGGCCCAAGGCCAGGUGGGAUUAGGACUCAGGACCUGUCUCACCAGGACCUGUGGGCACCAAUGGGCCCUCCUCCUUCUGGCUGGGGACUGUGCCCUGUAUCUGAACCAGUCCUUGGGACUCCUCUGCUCCCCCAUCAGGUGAGGUCUUACAGCCUCAGACCCAGUGUUUGUUGGGAUUCGGCUGGGCCAGGCCAGCCUCAGUGGCCCCUAGUUACCUUAACGGUCUGUGAGCCCCAGGAUCUCACGUGUAAUAGGUACCCAGGAAAGGUGUAUAAAACUGAACUAGGGCUUGCCUCAGUUUCUCCAGCUUGCACUUCCGGCCUCUGCCCUUAAUUUUCAUCAUAUUCAUUUGCCACAUGCCAGGCUCGCUGCUAGUUGCAGGGGAUGCAACAGUGACCAUCCAACAUGAUCCCUGUCCUAAAGGAGCUCGCAGUCUGGCUGGGCUGAUGGAUGAAUAACCAGAUAACUGUACUCAGUGCUGAGGAUGAGGGUAGGAGGGACUACCAGUGUCCACCAACCUCCAUCAUCUUUUUCCUCAUAAUGAGAGAAUUUGGGGGUGUUUUCAGGGCACAUGCUGCCAAGAGGGAGAGUACAGUUCCCAGCCUCCUUUGCAGUUAAGUGUGGUCAUAUGACUAAGUUCUGGCCAAUGGGAUGUAAGAAGAAGUGAUGCAAAAACACUUCCGGGUUAUGUCCCCAGAAGCAAUGACACUUCUUCUCUUCCUGCUGUCUGGAAUGUAGUUGUGAUGGAGGAGCUGGAGCAGCCAUUCUGGACUUGACUACAAACUGUGGGAUGAAGAUAGCGGAGCAACCAGAUAGAAGGAACCAGUGUUUCUAGAACAAACUUGCAGAAGUAAACCAACCUACCAACCUUGGACCUUCCACAUCUGUGCUAGAAUUAAAAUUCUAUCCCUUUGAGCCACUGUAGGUCUCUGUUAUAGCAGCUCAGAUGUAGUCUGACUUAUACAGAGGAGCAAAUAUAUGUUGUUGAGGGAGUCUCAGUGGCAUUUAACCCAGCCUGGUGGGAGUAGAUGUGGAAGACUUCCCAGAGGAGGCAACUUUUAGAUAGAGGCUUGACAAUGAGAAGGAGGAUUUCUCUAGAGAAAGUUUCCAGGCAGAGGUGUAGCAUAUGAGUAAAUCUAGAGGUGAGAGAGGACAUGGGGCUUUCAAGACACCUGAAAGAGCUGAGGGUAGUUGGAUCAUAGACAGUGAUGGGGCAGGUGAAAAUGGGGCUGGAUGGGUGGCAAGAUCUACCUCAAAGGGCCCGGAAAAGUCAUGUUUAGCCCUCUGAAUUUUGCCCUGAGGGCAAAGGGGAGUCAUGGAAGGCUUGAGGCAGGAGAGUGGGGUGAUUAGAUUUGCUCCUUACAAAGAUCUCUCUGACUACACGGUGGGAAAUUGAUUUAUUUUUUAAAAGCUGAGGCAGUGCUACGUGCCAGGCACUGAGGAUUAUCAGUGAACAAAACAGAUUUCGUUCCUAUCCUUAUGGAAUUUGCAACCUGGUGGAGUGAGACAUGAGUCAAAUAGCCAUGUAAAUAAACACGAAGCGUGAUAAGGCCAAUGCAGGGAGGUAUGCGAGGCUGUGAGGCAAUAUAAAGGGGGGUUGACUUGGGGGAGCCAGAAGAGCUUCCCUGGGAAGGCUGAUGGGGGGACAAAAGUGGGAAAGAUUCCAGGACAAGGGAACAGCACAGGCAUAGGAGCCCAGAUGGUAGCAGGGAAAACAAGAAGAUGGAGAAAUCCAGGCAGAGAUGGUGAGGAAGAGCAGGGAAUCUCAAGGGCCAGCCAGCUUUUGGCUUGAGCAAGGUGAGCAAUGACAGAGGAGCAAUGAGGAUGGGGAGGUAACUGGAAGUGAAGAUCCUGAGUUCAAAUAUAGUAUGUUGGACCUGAGGUUCCUAUGAACCUUCCAAGUGGUGAUGGUGAGUGUCUGGCAUGCAGAGGGGCUCCCUGACCAAUUGUACUUGUGGUCAUCCCAUGCAUGGACUCCCAGGCCAAAGCUCCCCAAAUGCUGCCCUUUGGAGCACCUAUUGUGUGCCAGGAACUAUGCUUGGGAUAGACACAGUGAUUUCCCUCUCAUGUCUUCUUGGCUGGCAGGGUCCAGUUUUGUUGGAUCUGCAUCUACCUAGGUGCUCAGGGACAGUGGCCAUUCCCCUCCCCAGCCUCAGAGUGAGUUAUUAUGGGUCUAAGCCAACUGUGGUCAUUCUCAUUUCCAUCAUCAGUGACUGGUUUGGAAUUAGGCAUGUGCUACAAUCUUGGUCAAUGGGAAGACUUCAGGGGAACUUUUGGGAACAAUUGUCUCCCCCAUAAAAGGGGACACAUGGGAGGAGGUGACUUUCUUCUUUAUUUGAUGUUGUCAUAUCUGUGUGUGAUGCCCAGAGCUGCAGCAGCCAUCUUGAAACCAUGAGGACAGCCAUCAAUAAAUUGCUGAGAUUAGCAGAGCAGGAAGAUGCAAAGAAUGUGAGUUUUUGUUUAUAUCUUCAUGCCUUCAAGUUAAACAACCAUUAUUAGAUUUCCCCUUUUCUCCAUCUUCAGUUACGUGUUCUAUUCCUUGUGGCUGAACACAUUCUAAGAAAGUGCUUCAUAUGCAUUGUUUUGUUUAAUCCUCUCAAUAACCUUUUGAGGUUGGUAUCAC